CAGCCGCCGCGGUAAUACGAAGGGUGCAAGCGUUACUCGGAAUUACUGGGCGUAAAGCGUGCGUAGGUGGUGGUUUAAGUCCGUUGUGAAAGCCCUGGGCUCAACCUGGGAAUUGCAGUGGAUACUGGGUCACUCGAGUGUGGUAGAGGAUAGUGGAAUUUCCGGUGUAGCAGUGAAAUGCGUAGAGAUCGGAAGGAACAUCUGUGGCGAAGGCGACUAUCUGGGCCAACACUGACACUGAGGCACGAAAGCGUGGGGAGCAAACAGGAUUAGAUACCCCUGUAGUCCCUGUCUCUUAUAC
rnacentral:rRNA from 1 species